CAGCGAGUGUUUUACUCUGGGGACAGCGCUGGUGCUAAUAUUGCUCAUCACAUGGCGAUAAGAAACGGUCGAGAAAUUAUCGACGGCUUUAAUGUUGUUGGUAUUGUCUUGAUUCAUCCAUACUUUUGGGGUGUUGAACCUGUUGGUUCCGAGCCUACUGAUGUUAAAAUAAGAGCUGGAACGGAGAGAUUUUGGCUAUUUGCUUGUCCAAGCACAAGCGGGCUCGAUGAUCCGUGGGUUAAUCCGUGUGCCGACGGUUCGAGCCUCGCGAGCCUGGGGUGCGCCAGGGUGCUGGUGUUUGCUGCGGAGAAGGAUUUCCUGUGCCCUAGAGGAUGGUUUUACUAUGAGAAGUUGAAGGAAAGUGGGUGGGGGGGCCAUGUGGAGAUAGUUGAGUCUAAAGGAGAGCAACAUGUGUUCCAUUUGUUCAAUCCCACUUGUGAAAAUGCUGGGUCUAUGCUCAAGAAAAUUUGUUCGUUCUUCAAUCAGGAUAAGCCUUGAAACUGAAGAGUUAUUUGCUUUGGUUCGGCAAAUAUUUGGGAGGAAAGAUGAAUAAGGUAAUUAUAAUAACUCUAGUGUGUGUGUGUGAUUUUCUUUCCUUUUUUUUUUUUUACAAGUGGGAUUCCGUGGAAUCAGAAUUCGGAAAAGGUUUUGGCAUUCUGGAAUCAUUGAUGUAUUAAUAAUUAGAAUCAAUCGUAAAUCAAUUAAGACAACUUGAUGUAAUAGUAGUACUGUUCACGGAGUCCAUCGAUUUCUCUUUGAUUUCGGAUCAGAAUAUAUCCAAUAUGAGCUCUGUUUCUUUCAAUUUUCAGCAACUUCAUUCAUUUCACUUAGCAAGUUAUCCUACUAAUCCGGUGAUUUGCUGAUAAAAGAUGAUCAUGCUAACGGUCGGACACAGUUGACUGCCGGUCUUCAUAAUUGUUUUAUUAAUUGAUAAAAAUAAGUUAAAUAAAAUUAAAGUAUUAAAUAAAUAUGACUUGUAUGAAUGUCAAUAAUCUAUAAUACAAAGAUAGAGAAAUAAAUAUUUCUGCAUGCCAACGUGAGGAAGAUGAAAAUUUACUUUGUCAUGUCUGUCUUUCAGAAGAAAAAAAAAAUAUUGUGAUUUCUAUUGGAUGGAGCAAGAAAAAAAUUAUCAAUAGUUUUAUAUUGGAAAUGCCACAAUUUCUAUGAAGUCGAAAAAUAUCUACACAAAUAUUUGGAGACAGCAGAGUCUAAACGAGAGCCGCACGCAAUGCUGUGGCUAUGCUCAAUCAAGAUAUGUAAUGCCUAAGCAUAAAAUAUUCAAUAAUUUGGUUGUUGAUCAGAAGGAUAAUUUGCUUGCCACUUAUUCAAGAGACGUGGAGCCAAGCCAAAUCAGAGUUGGUGAGAAAUAAAGAGCGUGGUUUAGAUAAAUCCACAAAGAAGGCAGUCCUUACCAAACAAAAUUUUCUACUAUCUUCAACAAAAACUGAUACGAUUUUUGAAAUUACAGUUUCGGUUAUGAUAAUUCAAGGAUUAAAAUCUUACCAAUCCUCAUAUUAUCUUGUCCCAAAAAACAAAAACAAAAAAUUGAAAGAGUGGUUUGGUACUUACAAAACUAUUACAAGGUGACGUGUCAAUAAUCAACUCUGCUAACUCUUUUAAUUUAAUUUGCUCAAUUAUUGUUAAUUAUUUAAUUAUGUAUUUCACUUCAAAACUCCUUUUUCAUUUUUUUCUUAAUGAGUUAUCGUAACAUUUGUCUUGAUUUAUAUGGGCCUAAUUGUAUUUGUUUGGACACCAUUUUUGUCCCUUUAUCAUUUUUUUUUUAUUUUUUAAAUUGUAAACGUUAUCCACUCUUGCUGCCUUCCACAUACCAAAUCUUGUCUUCAUCUCUGCAUAUUUUUCUGCUUCAUUUUCCUUUCUCCUUCUCCUGGAGACCAAACAAAGCCCGUCAAUAUUUUUCUGCACUUUUUCUCUACACAUGGAUUCCACAGAGCCGGCAGCAGAAAUAGCCAUAGACCUCUCUCCCACGAUAAAAGUAUACAAAGAUGGCAAAGUAGAAAGGCUCAAAGGAAACGACAUCGUUCCUGCAUCAUUUGAUCCCAAAACAAAAGUACAUUCCAAAGACGUUGUGUAUUCACCAGAAAACAAUCUAUAUGCUCGGCUUUACAUUCCAAACCAAAGACAAAACCAAAACCAAAACCAAAAACUUCCCCUUCUUGUUUAUUUUCAUGGAGGAGGCUUUUGCAUCGAAACCGCCUUUUAUCCCACUUACCACAAUUACCUCAACACCUUAGUCUCUGAAGCUAACGUCAUCGCAGUCUCGGUUGAUUAUCGGAGAGCCCCGGAGAAUCCUGUCCCUUGCGCUCAUGAUGAUUCAUGGACUGCACUCAAGUGGGUUGCUUCCCAUGUUAACGGAGAAGGCCCUGAAGAUUGGCUCAACUGUUUCGCUGAUUUCCAGCGAGUGUUUUUUUCGGGUGACAGUGCUGGCGCUAACAUAGCUCAUCACAUGGGCAUGAGACAUGGUCGAGAAAUUCUCGGUGUUAAUUUUAUUGGCAUUGUUUUAAUUCAUCCGUAUUUUCUGGGCAGAGAAGCUGUUGGUAAUGAAACAGCUGACUCUAAGAAAAGAGACUGGGUCGCGAGAUUGUGGAGAUUGACUUGUCCAAGUAGCACAAGUGGGUGCGAUGAUCCGUGGAUUAAUCCUGCCAUUGCGGGUUCGGACCUAGCGAGCCUGGGAUGCGCCAGGAUGCUGGUAUUUGUUGCGGAGAAUGAUUUUCUGAGAUCUAGAGGAUGGUUUUAUUAUGACAAGUUGAAGGAGAGCGGGUGGAGGGGCAAUGUGGAGAUUGUUGGGUCCAAAGGAGAGCAACAUGUGUUCCAUUUGAUAAAUCCCAUAUGUGAAAAUGCUGUGGCCAUGCUUGAGAGAACUGCUUCUUUCUUGAAUCAUCAGGAGAAGACCUGAAUUCAUGUGCCUCUAACUAUAUUUAUAAUUUUCAAUUUCCUUUUUUUUUUCUGUCAGCUGCUAUUUUUACGGGUAUAUAUAUAUAUAUAUAUAUAUAUAUAUUUACCAACUUCAACCGUUCAAAGGAAAUUUAUUAAUUAAAAAAAGUAUGGCAAUUCUCAGAAAAUCAAUUGAACACAGAAAUUAAUAUUGGGUUGGACUAUUGUCAUCCCUCGAAUGUCCUCGUAAAACCACUUUUAAGAAUAAUCUCUAUUUAAUUCCACAAAAAACCUUCCAAUUAUUUUUCUCAAGAAAAUUUCAGUGAACCUCAUCUCUCUCUCUCUACGAAACUCUUCUAAACUCAAUGACAUUUUUCUUUCAUUUUAAAUUUAUAAUGAUUGCUCUUAUUCAACACCGCAAGUCCAGAGCUUGAACUUAUCAAAUUCAGUUUUUGAGGGAUUUCUUUUCACACCACUAAAUCCAUAUUUUUAUUCUUUUAACAAGAAUGAGACCUUUUUUUCUUUUUCUUUUUUAUCACAAACAAUUGUAUACUUUUAGAGUUAUUUUGUUUUACAUUAGUCUUUGUCUUUUAUUUAAAAUUGUUCUUUUGAAGAAUUCGUUUGAUGAUAGAUAAUGAAUGGUUUGUAACUGAAAUUCUAUAUAUGGGUCAUAAACAACAAAUCUGAUUGCUGCCAAUAUUCUUGAAGAAGAUGAUUGCAUUUAAUUAAUUUUUUUUUAUAAAAUAACUCAAAUGAAAGGUUUGAUAAGAUUUUUAAAGGGUGCCAAUAGCUCCAUUGCUUAUUUUUAUAAAAGGGUGUCUGUACUAGGAAGGAUAUUGUUUAGGGGAAGAAAUUGAAGAUUAAUAAUGUGGCGCUGUGCGUUGAUGAAAAAUUUUAUGAUUAAAAAUAAUCACAGAGGGUACCUAACUUACACUGGGUACACUUGAUAAUUGAGCUGGCACGUGGAGUAUUCCAUACUAGAAGUAAGAUGGUAAAGAAAAGUCUCUAAAAUAUCAACCGUGAGAAAUGCCUCCAUCACCCUGAGAGAAUAUUUGAUUUGACAAGAUCAAAUAGGAAAUAUCUUGCUAGAAAAGAGGGGGCAGCUUGCUGUCACACCUAUAAAAAGCAAAAGAAAACACACCAAGACAAUGGUCCUUAGCUGCCACGCAUAGAAGCUAUCAAGACAACCUUUGUAGAGGUGUCCUAGACUACUCUGCAACGCACAACACGUGUACAAGAAAACAAACCAUACCAAAUGAUGUCCUUAUUGCUCCUCAAGCAUGCUACUAAUGGCUCAAAAUCAUGAUACUGGUGAAAGGAUAAAAUAAACUUGAAAAUGACAGCAAAUCACCACUGUAAUAUAUGCCGCGUGGCAGGGUAGUCAAGGUGCUCUAUAUAUAAAGACACUAAAGUUUUAUUUUGCUCAGGUAUACAACAAACUCACACAUAAAAGACUAAGGUUUUCUCUAACCUCCAGCAAUCAUUAAAGAGAGCUUACAAGCUCUCAAACGCUAGAUAACCCAACUCUGACUUAAGCAUCGAACCAUGGUCGCUGGCCACUUCCGGCUUCACCUAUGAUAUCCUUUUUAUUGUUUUGCUAGUUUAAGGUGUCCUUUCAAGCUCUUUCACUCCAGAUUUGGACCUCUCACCAUUAUCAUUGUCUUCUCACUCUUCUUCAUUUUUUUAAAAUGCACAAAACAACGCACAAAUUGCAAUUAAGUGAGGUACCUUAUAUCCCGAAAAUAAAUUUAUUAUUUUAGCCAGGUUUUCCUUUUUUCUUUUGCACCCAAAAUCUACCUGAAACAAUCAUCUUCAUCUUUAUCAAGACUAAACAUCUCUAUAUAGCUAUCUAGCUUAUUUUAUUCAUCUUGUAUAAUGUAGAAUCUUAUAUAACAUUUCAUUUAUAUAACGAAUUGAUGAUUACUUGCUCCUAUAGACGUAGGCUAAAUGGCGAACCACGUAAACAUUGUGUGUUAUAAUGGAUUGAUGAUUACUUACUCCCGUGGACGUAGGUCAAAGGCUGAACCAUGUAGACAUUGUGUGUUCAUUGCCUUUAUGUUUAUUUUGCUGUAUUUUCAAUUUACAGUCGUAAUUAUGUUCAUGUGUAAGCAUACUUGACGUACCCCAAUUACACUAAGUAUUUGGUGAGACACUUGAGCUAUCCCUCAAGUAUACUUGAGCUACCCUAACUACGCUAAGUAUUUGGUGGGACACUUGAGUUACUCCCUAAAUUAACUCCUAUAUAUUAUUUUGGCUCACCACCUAGGGUACCUUAGUUAAACCACCUAUCACAAAUAUCAGAAAAAAACAUCUAAGCCCAAACUUAGCACAAGCUCCCUCAAAUGUAAAUUUAUUUAUUUGAGACAGAUUUGAUCUGGUAACUAGUACGAAUCGGAUCCUAAUGAAAAUUUGGUGAAAACGGGUAUUAUCAAUAAUCUGCCCUACUAACAUCUAACUAUUUAUUAAGAUAACAUUUAUUCUUUUUAUUUGAAAUUUAAAUUAGUUUAACUGAAGUUUAAAUAAAUCUAAAUGCAUUUGUCUGUUUUCAUUUUUUGAUGCCUAAGUAUAUAAGUGGUAAGUUGUUUGCUUUUAUAAACUCAAAAUAUCUUAAAUCUAGUAUUUUAUACUUAUAUCCUUAGAUGUAUUAUACAUUUGGAAGUUUAAAUAGGUAUAUGUUUACCGGGUUAUUUAGUAUAGUAAUAUUUAUAUGUUAUGAAUAAUUAUAAGCUAAGCAUUUGAUAUACAGAAGAAAUAAACUAUGAAAAAAUAAUUUUGAUAACAAUAGUUUUUACAACUUACAGAAUAUUUCCACAUAAAAAAUUGCUAUCUAAUAAUAAAAGAAUAGUGUAAAAUUCAAAUUGAAUGUAUGUUAGGUAUUUAAUAGCAAAUAAAAGUUUAGAUCAAGAGAAGUUUUAAUGUAGGAUAAGAAACUUAAGACUCUAAAUUUGAGUUGUCCUCGGACGUACACCUGCUUAUGGCACCUCGGAAUUAUAGACUUACUAUGGUAAAAGACUUAGACCCAACGUAUUCGUUGGAGUCGUGGGAGCAAAGCAAGGCUUGUUAGACAGAAAAUAUGAAAUAUUCUAAAAAAUUCCUUCGUCUGCUAGUUUUUUUAGUGUAUCCAUGAUUAAUUCUUCUACCUUUUGAGUGUCAUCUUCAGAAACAUUCUUCAAUCCGAUACUAAAUUGAGGCUGAAGGAGUUCAUCUUCAAUCCCACCACCAACAAUGGCAUCUCCAAGACCACUUUCUAGUAAAAUUUUCCUCAAGGGAGAAGCAGGAGUUCUCAGCAUAAGAUGAUCCAAGAACCCAAGGGCAAGUUCCGUUUCCAAGUCUAAGGGCUUAUCUGAGAGCAACCAAUUAAGGCAUACCAUGUUCUUCUUCUUAAUAUCACCAGCAUCACCAGCAGGGUAUUUCUCAAUAAUCCUGAUUGGUUCUGAAAAUAGUUUCUGUUUUUCAACUAUUGAUUCAUUUGGGGGCUGAACUUGCUUCAAACAUAUUCAAAUACUCUGUGACAGAGAAAGUGCAAUUAAGAUGCUAGUGUACAGAACAACUUGAAUUAAGACCUUAUCAUUCAACUUACUAUCAGAAUGGCAACAUUUUGACAUGCAUGUGCACAAGAAAAUGUUGGAUUGCAUAGACAAGUGAAUAUUGGAUAUGCAUUGGAUUUUGGACCAAAUAUAAUAAAAAAGUUGCAAAUCAUACUGGAUAUGAAAACUUCCAGUUUUGGUUAUAUAUUGGUCUUUUGACUGAAAAUAGUAAAAUACUUCAUAUACCAAGUAAAGAUACGAAGACAAGCUAUAAUUAUAAUGCAUCUUUGUACCGAAACUAGUUCCACUAGAGCAAACUCAAACAAAUCCAUUUUAGGAAGGAUUUUAGUUUCCAUUAUUUAAUUGCUCAACCAGGCAUAGUUUUCAAGGACCACUCAUGCAUAUGCAUCACUCUGGGACCAGCACCCAUAAGCUUCGGGGGACAACCGAAAGUGGUACUCCAGUGAGAAAAAAGAAAAAAAAAUUAACAAAGAGCAUGGAUACUCAAUUCGUCAUCAAUAGAGAUGUCAUUUAUUACCACUCGGGAUGCGUAAGCGUUCAUUUGGAUCAUCGUCUCCAUAGAACCAUAUUUACGGUGAAAUUCCUGCCAUCAGAAAGACACAGCCUGAGAAAAAUAACUAACACAACAUUUAAGUUAAAAAAUCCCCAUACCAACAUAAAUCGAAAAAAAAAAAAAAUCAAAAUGCAGUAAAGAAUAUACCUUAAACUCCUCAAAUGUCAGCUUUGGAAUAACUUUUGGAUCACCUCCGCUAUCUACACCAUAUGCAUUGUCGGGAAAUAAAGCCUGUGAAGAAGUUUUGUAACUCAGUUGCAAGAGCAAACAAGAUAGCUUUAUCAGAAGCAUUCAAAAAGAAUGAAUUGGAAGCAUCAAUAAAUGAUCCAUAUGGGUAUGCAAUCAUAAGAUUCAGGCACUUUGUCAGUGAAACUUCGGAGGAAUAAACUAUGAACCAGUUUUCCAUUGUUUCCUGAUUGUAAGGAAUCUGAAAAGAUAUACAGUCAGACGAAUGGAGAACUUGCCUGUUGAGCAGCCCGCCCUAAUAUAUUAUCAGGCUGCGAAUAGACACCUUUCAUCUCAUUGAAAACAACACCUUCAAUUAAGAACAAAAAAAGGAAGGUCAAAGAACUUAGUUGCAAGUUGGAUGAAUCAUCACCAGGGAAAACCAAAUAACAGCAGAAGUUUAAUAUAUAUAUAUAUAUAGAGAGAGAGAGAGAGAGAGAGAGAGAGAACAAAUAUCUGCAGAUAUCAAACCUUUAUAAGUUAUAUCCUCUGAAGGAUUAUCCAGCUCAAAAUGCCAACCCUCCUGUUGAAAAGUCUGGAAGUCCUCCACACACUUUGGGAAAAAGACAGCAUCUAAGUAGACAUCGACCAAAUUAUAAAAAUCCUGUUUAGGAAACCAUCUUAGCGUAAGUAAAAUCCAAAAAAGAUGUAAGAGUUUCCAAGCUUAGGUUCCCGUUCCUCAUAACUCCAACUCAUUUUCUUACCUUUGUAUUCGUAGAAGCAACUGGGUAACAUGUUCUAUCAGGAUAUGUGAAUGCAUUCAGAAAAGUAUUCAAGCUUCCUUUCAACAAUUCAACGAAUUGUUCUUUCAAAGGAUACUUUCUUGAACCACACAACACACUGUGUUCCAAUAUGUGUGGAAUCCCAGUUGAAUCCUUCCUGCAUUAUCAAAUAGGUAAGGCAUAAUGAUCAGACCUUUUGCAACCCAAAAACGUGUCUCGUUGUCCAGAAAACUAUAACUGCCUGAAAAUUAUUUUCUUGUAUUCUUAGCAUUUUAAUGAUAAUAUCUAACAAUGUAUCUGAUUGAAAUUAAUAUAAUCAAAUAAAAUGAAAAGAGAAAAAAAAAAAGACGUUAUCAAACAGUGAGACAGAGUACAUUUACAAUACUUACGGAGGAGUUCGAAAGACAAUGCCGAAGACCUUGUUCUCAUCAUCGUUGGAUACAGACAUGACCUCAGCACCGGUUUUCUUGUGCUUGAAAAGCACAGCCUUUGAUUUACACUCUCCAAUGAACUCUUCCGAAACCUUCUCGAAUCCAAGCUUCUCCGCCACUUCAUUGCUGACUUCAGCACCCUCUACACACACAAAGAAAACCAAUCACAGAUCUCAAUUCAACACACCAAUCACAAUAACUUAAAAGAGGAGUUUCAAUUUUUUUUCCAAAUAAUAGAUCAUUUCUAACGAUUAACAAACACAAAUUUACAAGAAUUGAACAUAAUUGUUUUUUUCUUUGCCGGUAAUCAUUCAAUGAACCAAUAAAAUUACUGCUUAAUUAAACGUAGGAGAUUAAUUAAAUAAAUAACGGGAAAAGAGCUGAAAUUUAGAAAGAGUGAAACGACAAAUUUGCACCUGGAGACGAGGGAGUGGAAGGAGAGGCGACGGCGCGAGGAGAGAGAGACGAGAAGUGUUUGUUGAAUUGAAGAGAGUAAGAUGAUAAGGAGAGGUGUAAUCUGCUGUCGCCGCGGAGGAGGGAGCGCCUGGUGAGGUUGUUGAUCAGACGGUGGUGAUUUCUCCUCGCAACAGCAACUGAUGAUGAUGAAAAUUUGGCGCGAGGUACGAAAGAGAAAGUAGAAUCUGUUGGAAGCGAGGGAAGUACAAGAGAGAGAACGAAGCAACGCGGCUCGCUCCAUUGUUAGAAGAAGGGUAGGUACUACGGAGAGAGAGCCUAAAAUAGGUAGCUUAUCCUUUUAAUAUCAAUGGUCAUGGCUAUGAAGCUUGGUUAAACGAUCAUGCUGAUUUUGCUCGUGUUUUUCUCGCCGGUGACAGUGCUGGUGGCAAUAUUGUGCACAACAUGGCCGUUCAAGCGAGUUUUGAAGACUUAAAUGGGAUAAAACUGGCAGGAAUUUGCUUGGUUCAGCCAUAUUUUUGGAGACAUGAUGAAGUUGUUGAUAAGUGUUGGGUAUUUGUAUGUCCAAAUACAAGUGGGUACAAUGAUGUGAGAAUAAACCCAUGUUAGGGUGCUGUAAUUCGAGUCAAUCUUGUACUUAACUGGCAUAAUAUUCUUGUGAUAUUCUCUCUUCCAUUCUUGGUAUGUAAAUCAAUUAGUUUAGGAAGGUUGAUUGAUUAUAGGAGGUCUAGCUUGAUUUGUGGAGAAUACUCGAAAUAUAAUCUUGUAUAUAUAUGUAUAGGAUGGAAUAACAGAGCAGGGUUUUUCACACCAAAAUCAGUUUGUUCAUGGUAUCAGAGCUUUGCCAUGGAGACCAAAUCAGACACAUCAAAGGUGAGUGAUGAACAUGUGAAAAAUCAGAUUUCACCAUAUUACCUCUCGGCAAGUGAUAAUCCUGGGAAUAUUAUCACACAAGUUCAACUAAAGGGAGACAAUUACGAUGAAUGGGCACGAGCGAUAAGAACGGCGCUACGAGCCAAAAAGAAAUUCGGCUUUGUUGACGGAAGCAUGAAAGAACCUGCGAAGGAACCUGAGCUAGACGAUUGGUGGACAGUCAAUUCCAUGAUAGUGUCAUGGAUCUUGAACACAAUCGAACCAACCUUGCGCUCCACCAUAACCCACAUGGAAGUGGCGAAGAAGUUAUGGGAUGAUAUAAAAGAGCGGUUCUCGGUUGGAAACAGACCACGUGUUCAUCAACUCAAAUCUGAACUGGCUGAAUGUAAGCAAUGAGGAAUGACCAUCUUGAGUUAUUAUGGCAAGCUGAAACUAAUUUGGGAGGAAUUGGCAAAUUAUGAACAAUAUCCGAUAUGUAGCUGUGGAGGAUGUGCAUGUGAAUUGGAAGCCAAGCUUAACAAGAAACGUGAAUAAGAGAGGCUUCAUCAAUUUUUAAUGGGCCUGGACGAUACAAUAUAUGGGUCCGUUCGUUCUAAUAUUUUAAGCACCGAUCCCCUAUCGCCAUUAAACAGAGCAUAUUCCUUGGUUGUUCAAGAGGAGAGGGUGCAGACCAUAACUCGGGGAAAGGAAGGACGUGGAGAACCAGUAGCAUUUGCUGUUCAAGGAGGAGUGAAAGGGCAAAUAGAGAUCAGAGAAAAAUCUAGUGUAAUCUGUAAACACUGCAGAAAAACGGGGCAUGAUGCGGAUUCGUGCUUCCAAUUGAUUGGGUAUCCAGAAUGGUGGGGAGAUCGAUCACGGACUGGUGGGCGUGGAGCAGGUCGUGGUCAAGGUGGACAACGUCAGGGCAUAGCACAAGGAGGAAAAGGGAGAGGAAGUCAGAUUAAAGCCAAUGCAGCCCACGUGACAAGUGAAGGAAGUGGCAUACAGGGCCAUGUCUUAGAUGCAGAUAAAACUGGACUCAAGGGGCUGAGUAACGAGCAAUGGAGUAUGCUUCUUAAUCUUUUGAACUCACAGACGGAAAAGAAUCAAGAAAAACUAAAUGGUAAGUAUAAUAUGAGAGCUUGGAUAAUUGAUACCGGAGCCUCUCAUCAUAUGACAGGGAGCCUCAAAUUGCUAUGUGACGUGAAGACUGUAAUCGCAUGCCCAGUUGGUCUACCAGAUGGGAAAGAAGUAAUGGCAGAGAAGAAAGGGAACAUUGUCCUUGAUGGACGUCUAAAAUUAACCAAUGUGUUAUAUGUGCCUAGUUUGAAUUGUAAUCUGAUUUCAGUGUCACAAUUGGUCGAAGAAUCAAAUUGUAUUAUCCAGUUCACUAAUAAAUUUUGUGUUAUACAGGACCGCACUUCGAGGAUGCUGAUUGGUGCGGGUGAACAACGCGGGGGGCUCUACUACUUCCGAGAAAUUGAAUCUACAAGAGCAUUGCAGACUGUUGCAAAAGGGACAAUUGAUCUUUGGCAUCAGAGGUUGGGCCACCCUUCUGAAAAAGUUAUUAAAUUGUUGCCAAUGGUUGAUACUACGAAAAAUAAGGCAUAUCCCAAGAAUUGUGAUGUUUGUUUACGUGCAAAACAAUGUCGUAAUGAAUUUAUUUCUAGUAAUAAUAAAGCUUCUGCUGUUCUGGAAAUGAUUCACUGUGAUUUAUGGGGUCCAUAUAGGACGCCGACUUUUUGUGGUGCUUAUUAUUUUCUGACUAUUGUGGAUGAUUUUUCGAGAGGAUUGUGGGUUUAUUUGGUAAAUAACAAAUCAGAUGUGGGAUGAAUCAUUCGCAAUUUCUUGGUUAUGGUGGAAAGACAAUUUAAUGCUUUUGUGAAAAUAGUUCGUAGCGAUAAUGGUACUGAGUUCACUUGCUUAAAUGGAUUUUUUGCUACCCGUGGGAUAAUUCAUCAAACCUCAUGUGUCGGAACACCCCAACAGAAUGGAAGAGUUGAACGAAAACAUCGUCAUAUUCUUAAUAUUGCUAGAGCACUUCGUUUCCAGGCAAACUUGCCACUUGAGUUUUGGGGAGAGUGUAUAUUGACAACAAGUUAUUUGAUAAAUAGAACUCCAACUCUUAUUUUAGAAGGAAAGACACCGUAUGAAGUUUUAUUUGGGAAGACACCUUCAUAUGACAAUUUGCGAGUGUUUGAUUGUUUGGCUUACGCUCAUAACCGUGGGAAUAGAGGAGACAAAUUCGAUAGUCGAAGCCGAAAAUAUAUCUUUGUUGGGUACCCUUUUGGGAAAAAAAGGGUGGACCAUGUAUGACCUGGAGACAAAAGAGUUUUUUGUCUCUCGGGAUGUGGUAUUUGUGGAGCAUGAGUUUCCUUAUAUGAAGGAUGUAAUUUGUGAUGAAGAAACAAGGAAUAUGACAGGAUAUAAUGAUGUUUUUGUAGACAAUGUAGAAUGUAGAGCAUAUGCAGGUGAGCAACCUGUUAGGGAGGAAAAUAGCAUAAAUGGACAAAUAAAGGAAACAAGGGAGGAGCCUGUUGAUAGUGUGGCUCCUGAGGCAAGGGGGGUUGCUGGUAUAGAACCACAAUUGGGACGAGGACAUCGACAACGCCAAUUGUCUACAAGGCUGAAGGACUAUGUGAUCCACACCACACAGGUGUUGCACCCCUCUAUUCGGCCCCUUGCAUGUUCACUUGGCCAUAUGCAAUCCUCAGGUAGCCUCUAUCUUAUAGCACGUUAUGUGAACUGUGAUAAAUUUUCUUUGCGAUAUUGUGCUUUCUUGGCAGCCAUAAUUGCAGGUGUUGAACCCAACUCAUUUGCUAAGGCAGUCAAAGAUAAGAAAUGGAGGGAAGCAAUGCAACAGGAGAUACAUGCACUAGAAAAUAAUGGCACAUGGAUAAUGGAACCAUUGCCAGUUGGGAAACGAGCUAUUGGGUGUAAAUGGGUGUUUAAGAUCAAGUAUCAAGCUGAUGGGACGGUUGAACGUUACAAGGCUCGUUUGGUGAUACUUGGCAACAAGCAAGUUGAGGGAAUUGAUUAUAAGGAGACGUUUGCACCCAUGGCCAAAUUGGUGACUGUUCGAACCUUCCUCGCAGUAGCUGCAGCUCGAAAAUGGGAACUUCAUCAAAUGGAUGUACAUAAUGCUUUCUUACAUGGUGAUUUGAAUGAAGAGGUGUACAUGCGUAUGCCUCCUGGCUUUCAUUCUCAGCAACGAGGAAUGGUGUGUCGCUUACGAAAGUCAUUAUAUGGUCUUAGACAAGCUCCUCGAUGUUGGUUCGCUAAGUUAGCUGCUGCGCUGAAAAAUUAUGGCUUUUCACAAUCAUAUUCCGACUACUCUCUCUUUACUCUUCAUCAGCAUGAGCGGCAGAUUCAUGUUCUUGUCUACGUUGAUGAUAUCAUUGUAACGAGAAAUGAUCAUGCUGCUAUUCAGAACUUUAAAACAUACUUGAGUGAUUGUUUUCAUAUGAAGGAUUUGGGGGUGCUGAAAUAUUUUCUUGGGAUUGAGGUGGCUCGAGGUCCAGAUGGGAUUUUUCUCUGUCAACGCAAAUAUGCUUUAAACAUCAUUACUGAAACUGGUUUGCUCGGGGCAAAACCUGUUUCCUUUCCAUUAGAGCAAAAUCACAAUCUCGCUUUGACAGAUGGACCUUUUCUUGAUGAUCCUGAGCGCUACCGGCGUCUGGUGGGUAGGUUGAUUUAUCUUUCAGCAACUCGUUCGGAAUUGUCCUAUGCUGUGCAUAUGUUGGCUCAAUUCAUGCAACAGCCAUGAGAAGCUCAUUGGGAUGCCGCCUUACGGGUUGUACGGUAUUUAAAAGGAAAUCCUGGGCAAGGUAUUCUGUUAAGGACUGAUUGUGACUUGACCUUGUAUGGUUGGUGUGACUUAGAUUGGGCGAGCUGUCCGUUGACACGUCGGUCCUUGACUGGAUGGCUUGUUAUGCUUGGUCAUUUUCCUAUCUCUUGGAAGACUAAGAAACAACACACUGUCUCCCGGUCAUCAGCAGAAGCAGAGUAUCGUUCUAUGGCUACCACUACAUGUGAGUUAAAGUGGCUGAAAGGAUUAUUAAUGUCAUUGGGUGUGCAUCAUACCACUCCAAUGAGACUUUAUUGUGAUAGUCAUGCAGCCUUGCAUCUUGUUGCCAAUCCCGUGUUCCAUGAGCGAACAAAGCACAUAGAAGUUGAUUGUCAUUUUGUUCGCGAUGAGAUUCAAAAUGAUUCCAUUCGCCCAUCCUAUGUUCCUACUCAAUCUCAAUUGGCCGACAUCUUCACUAAAGCAUUGGGUGGUCGACACUUUGAUUCAUUUCUUCGCAAGUUGGGCAUACGAAACUUGCAUGCUCCAACUUGAGGGGGGGUGUUAAGGUGCUGUAAUUGGAGUCAAUCUUGUACUUAACUGGCAUAAUAUUCUUGUGAUAUUCUCUCUUCCAUUCUUGGUAUGUAAAUCAAUUAGUUUAGGAAGAUUGAUUGAUUAUAGGAGGUCUAGCUUGAUUUGUGGAGAAUACUCGAAAUAUAAUCUUGUAUAUAUAUGUAUAGGAUGGAAUAACAGAGCAUGGUUUUUCACACCAAAAUAAGUUUGUUCAACCCAGCUGCUGACUCUAGGUUAAUGAGCCUGAGGUGCCCCAGGGUUCUCGUUUGUGUUGCCGAGAAGGAUAAUUUGAGAGAUAGGGGAUUGCUUUAUUAUGAGACUUUGAAAAAUUGUGGUUGGGCUGGAGAAAUUGAGAUUGUGGAGACAGAAGGAGAGGAUCAUGUGUUUCACUUGUUCAAUCCAGAUUCUGAAAAGGCUGUGGCCUUGAUGGAUAAAUUAGCUUCAUUCCUAAAUCAAGAUAAUGUUUUCUGAUGUGAUCACCAGGAACUUAGUAAUCUGUGUACUCUUAAAUUUAAUGUUGUUCAGCAUCAUAUUUCUCUUUGGUUUUACAUUAUGGACAUCAUUUCUUUUACCAGCAAUUUCAUAUAUGUAUUAAUGUCUAUAUAAGAACAUUCAAAUGCCCCAUUGAUGUGUGUAUAAUUUACAAGUGAUAUUGUGUACCUUACCAUAAGAACAAUAAGGAAAGAAAAUGAAUAGAGUUUAAUUGUAGGAGCCAUUGUUACUGUUGGAUCCAAUUCAAUGUGAUUAUCAAAUCAAGAAGAGAUCAAGAAAGAAUUCAGGAUCUAAAUCUAAAGAUUAAUCAAUGAGAUCAUAGGGACAUGCAAAAUCAAAUCAAGAACAUCACAAGAGCAAUUUAUGUGGCUUGACAAGCUUGCUUAUAUCUGCAAGAGAAAACAACCACGGCAAGCAUUAACAGAUGCCGAUUAAAAGAUUACACUCAGCACUCUGCAAAGAACAAAUCCCAUGUUUACAAUCUUGGCUAACUCUCUCUAAGUUGCAAGAAAAUUUCUCAAAAACAACUGUUUCAAUUCUGUUCAGCUGGUAACCUCAAUAAGCUGCUAGCUCAUCUGUGCCUUGUCAGCAGCCUAGUAAUAUUACUAGCAGAUUGUAAACCAUCAUUUCAAUAAUGUUACCCGGUCUGGAACAAAGCACGACUUACCUGAAUUUUACUUGCAAUUAAUAAAAUAGCACUAAAAAUAAAAAUCAUAUUUCACCUUUUUUUUCCCCUCCGGAAGUAAAAGACCAAAAGUUCGGUAAAUAACUCGUAAAACAUUUGGGGUCUUUCCAACAUUUCAAUCAUGCUCUUCUAGCUACAAAAUGAAUUUGUUGAAUAUAUAUUUGUUGUUAAUUGAGUGAUAUUAUAUUCAGUCAAAUUUAUGGAGGCGAAGAAUCUUGUCAAUUAUUUACAGAAAGCACUAAUUAAGUCUAUUAUCAAUCCCAUUGACGUGUAUAUGAGACCGAACUUGAGCAAGAACUUUGUUGGCUGUUGUUGAUGCGAGAUUCUGGUUACCCUCCUUACACAACCAGGAUCUCUGCUCGAUCAACUCUACCAAGAUCAGGAUCUCUCCUCGUAAUGCUUCUUUUCUAGAAGUUCCUGCGUACACAGAGACAGGUCAGAGCAUGCCGGUUGUUUUUCCGGCGUAAAUCCUCCGACGCUCAAGUCAGAAAUGAAGGUUUUUGUGUUCCUGGGAAUGCUAGCCACAAAUCUUAUGGCGUAUCAAUUCUUUAGAGCUCUUUUUUUUUUCUCAGUUCUAAUCUCAAAAAUUCUAACCCUUUUACCUUCGUUGGCUGCCUUUUUAUAGGCUUCUUCUGAGUUCAGAUCUUCCCCACCAUCACGCCCGUUACCUUCCCACCUCUCGAAAAUGGAUGCUCCGUUUCUGCAAUCGUGGGUGGUUGCAUGGCCUUCGUGCCUUGAUUCUCGGAUUGGAGAGGACGUCUCGCUAACUGUCGUUGAUCGAGUCUCUUUGCCUCGACCGUUAGCAGGAAUGGCUUUAUGCCUCUAACAGGAGUUCGACCUCGUGGAUGGCAUAUUCGUGGACGAACAGAAUAUUCCUGCUCCUGUUCCCCUACUACCAGACUCUUACAGGAUACACCUGUUCGCAGAACUCUGCCACCAGAUAUCUGCUCAUCACGUCUGGUCUCGUCGAAGUACUUCCCCCAAACACCGGUCCCCCAGUUUCUAGUGUUGGGUAAUGUAGUGGACCAGCAGUAGAAACUCAUUAGUUCUGAUUUGCGCGGGAUAGGAAGAGGUCUUGAGGAGUCGUGUCGCAUUAAAUUGUGGGUGAGGUGAUGUGGUAGAGAUUUGUCCCUCCAUUUGAAUUUCAAACCGGUGGCUAUGCAACCCUUGGAACUCGUGCCCUUAAAUGUUGAUAGCCCGUGGGUUUAUUUCUCAUUAAGGAACCUAAAAAUCCCAACGACGAAAUUCAUCUCUCAGCCCUUUUUUACUUCUCCGGUGACUGAAUAACUUUUUUCCUUCGACGUAGAAGCUAUCAUCCCUGCCUCUACUUCGUCGGGCCUCUACUUCGUCGGGCCUCAACUGCAGGUAUUACCUCUAUUUUCUCGUUCCUAGAUUGCUAUAGAAAAUUUCCUUUCUCUUUGUUUUGUUUGGGUAGUGUUUGGUGAUAUUGCUCUGGUCGUAGCUUAGGAGAUGUCAAAAGGUAAAGAGAAAGUCAUUGAAGUUGAUGACGACGAGUUAGAUUUCCUGCCUAGUCUGCUCACUGAUCCUGCCUUUGACCCCGGGAUCCCCUUAGAACCCAUUAGACAUAGUGUUGGGACUAGCGCUGGGAGGAUGUCCCCCCAAGCAACCUCUUCAAGCGGAAACAACGGUGAGGAUGGGUCUUCUGGCUCAGAAAACACCCUGAGUGAGGAUCAAGGAGGUGAUUCUGGUGAGGUGUCCCCAUUAGGAACAUCGUGACCAGAAGGGCGGAAUACAGUAGGAGGUAGAGCCCUAUCACGGGAUUACGCCAUUGAUUACAUGACGUGCACGACCACGUUUGACGAGCUCACUGACCUCCGGCUUAGGUAUAGUAUUCCUGGUGAAAUACCUCUUAAGAUCCCAGGAAAGAAGGAUACCCCUAGCCGGCCUCCUAGGGGAUAUGUUACCUUAUUUUUGGAGAGUUUUAAGUAUGGGCUGAGGUGUCCCUUGCAACUCUACUUUGCCCGAAUUCUUAACGGGCUAAAUCUAGCUCCUGGUCAGCUGAACCCCAACGGGUGGAGAGUACUCUCUGGUCUGUUCAUAUUGUGGGACAUAUGUUACCAAAGCAAGCCCACAGUUGAUGAGGUGAAGCACCUGUAUCAACUGAAAAGCAGCCCCAAAGAUGCUGGCUGGUAUUACUUCCAAUCAAGUACUAAGACCAGAAAAUCCAUAACCGACCUCUCUACUGGUGGUGGUGCGAAUUGGAAGAGAAAGUUCUUUUUUGCUGGGGGUCCCUAGGGUCAAGUGGCACAGAUUGACGGGAAGGAUUAUUGCGUCCCACCCCGUUUCGUGGUCCCAGGUUGCCUGCUCGCUUUAGAUGUCUUGUAUCCAUAAUUGUUCUCGCUUUACUGGUUUGUCUCUAACCAAAUGUCUGUUUGUAUUGUAGGUUCUUAGAGUAUUCACUUCCCACUCAAACCUGACCAGCUCAAACAGGUCGAGGCUAUACUGGCCAAUUCCUGCUCGAGCCAAGAGCUAAUAAUUACUUAUAACCUGCUCGAGUCUUGUUUGGUGCCCUCCGGCCAUAAGAUGGAGGAUGCUGUGAUUGGGGCUCUGACUCGAAAACGUCCUCGACCUCAAACUGUAAAGAGGAACCAGAACAAGGACGCUCCCACUGUGAAGCGGGUGAAUAUUGUGCAGCAUGUUCCUUCAUUGAAGACUCUACCUCCUCUUCCUGCCAAAGUCAGAGAAACUAGUGGAGCAGCCAUUGAUCCUGCUUCCUCUUCUCAUCCGGUCGGGCCUAGAUCUCGUUUAUCUGACAAUCGAGCAGAGCACUUGGUCCAUUAUCUCAACGAGCUAUCUAAACUCGUGAGCAAGAAGGACCUGGAAGACUUUGAUGGCUGCGUCCUAGGUGAGCUGGUGGGGGCCAUGUAGUAUAACGCUUUCCAUCUCAGCUGCAUGACCAUUUACUAUAAGGCCAAGGUUGGCCGUUUUGACCGGAAGAUGAAGGAGGACAUUCAUUCAGCGAUGACCCGAGCUGACGAUGCCGAGAAGAAAUCAGGAGACCUGAAUCUCGAGAAUCUGAAGCUGAUAGAGCAAGAAUCUCUUACUCAAGCAAAGACCAUUACUCUCGAGGAAGAGCUGACUAAGGUCAAGGAGGAUCUGCAAAGGCAGAAGAUUAUGUACGAGGCUCAGCUCGAAUCUCUCUGUGAUUCCUACCGGGUUCAGGUCGAGAACUUGGAGAAGGAGGCUGACAACCAAUACGACCAGGGACUCCGACAUUCCUAUCGUUGCAUCAUGGCCGUCCUUGGGAAGCAGCACCAUGAUUUGAAGAUGGAUGACCUUGCCGCUUGUGUUGCUCAACACAUGGACGAGGAGGCAGCAAAAAAGAAUGCCGAAGAGGUGGAGCCAAUUCUGGUUGAGGAGGAAAACUCUCCUCCUCGUACAAUCCCUGCUGAUGUUGGUGAGGCGAGUACCCCCCCGGAUGCAACUGGUGAUACCCCCUGUACCUGAGGUGGACUAGCCAAUUGAGGCUGCUCGGCUUACUGACCCGCUGUCUUCUUAAACAUGUUUCUUGUGUUGUAAUGAACUUUGUAUGUGAAAGUUAUCAGCCUUGCUAGUUAUUGGCGGAUUAAUAAAAAAUGUUUCUUGAUUGCUUUCUUGUGUUGUAGUUGCGAGUUAUUAUUAUUAUUAUUUUAUUUUUGAGAGUCUGCUCGCCUUCGCUUGGUUGAGCAUGUCCUGGUAGGCUUGGCCUCUGGUCUCGCCAUAAGACAGGCUUUGAGACUUGAUGAGCCUUGACAUGCCUUAGUAAUUUCUUCAAUGCUUGGGAUUCUGCUCGUCUUCGCGUGGUCGAGCAGAUCCUGACACGCUUGGCUUCUGGUUUCACCAUAAAACAGGCUUUGAGACUUGAUGAGCCUUUGCAUGCCUUAGAAAUUUUUCGAUGCUUGGGAGUCUGCUCGCCUUUUCUUGGUCGAGCAGAUCCUGGCACACUUGGCUUUUAGUCUCGCCAUAAAACAGGCUUUGAGACUUGAUGAGCCUUUGCAUGCCUUAGAAAUUUUUCGAUACUUGGGAGUCUGCUUGCCUUCUCUUGGUCGAGCAGAUCCUGGCACGCUUGGCUUCUGGUCUCGCCAUAAAACAGGCUUUGAGACUUGACGAGCCUUGGCAUGCCUUAGAAAUUUUCGAUGCUUGGGAGUCUGCUUGCCUUCUCUUGGUCGAGCAGAUCCUGACACGCUUGGCUUCUGGUCUCGCCAUAAACAGGCUUUGAGACUUGGUGAGCCUUUGCAUGCCUUAGUAAUUUCUUCAAUGCUUGGGGUUCUGCUCGCCUUCGCGUGGUCGAGCAGAUCCUGGCACGCUUGGCUUCUGGUCUCGCCAUAAACAGGCUUUGAGACUUGGUGAGCCUUUGCAUGCCUUAGAAAUUUUUCGAACAGUACAGUUGACUGGAAUUCCUCAUUGAUUCACUUAUUAUUGAAUUCGGCUUUACAUGAGAUUGCUUUGAAAUAAGAAAUAAAAAAUAAAAAACAAAAAACAACGAGCACGAACAGAAAUAACUUUAAAACAUGAACAAGUCUUACUAAAAAUAUUUCCUGAGUUGUGUCGCAUUCCAUGGGCGUUUCACCUCGUGGCCAUCCGUGCGAACCACCUUGUAAGCUCCGGGUCCAACUAGCUGCUUGACCCUAUAUGGCCCCUCCCAAUUUGGUCCGAGUACUCCUUAGACUGAGUCUUUUGUGUUCUGAUUCACUCUCCUCAACACCCAAUCUCUGACCUUGAACUGUCGUACAUUCACCUUCUGGUUGUAGUACCAAGCAACCCUCUGCUGGUAAAUGGCUGAUCGCCUCGAUGCUUGUUUCCUUUUCUAGGUUAGCAGAUCCAAAUUCAAGCACGUCUGGUCGUUGUUCUCUUGCUUAUCGAAAUGAUCUGUCCGGUGCGUGGUUGUUCCUAUCUCGGCUGGUACAACCGCCUUGUGUCUGAAGGCCAAGGCGAAUAGAGUUUCCCCAGUUGCUGUCUUAUGGGUUAUCCUGUAUGCCCAUAGUACAACUGAUAGCUCAUCAACCCAAGCACCAUUUUUUGGUGCCAAGCCUGAUUUUUAAAAGCCUCUUGAUCGUCUUGUUGGCUGCUUCUACUUGCCCGUUAGACUGUGGGUGAUCAGGCGAGCAAUAUUUCAACUCUAUCCCGAGAUUCUGGCAAAAAUCCCUGAAGCUGUGAUUAUCGAACUGCCUGUCAUUAUCCGUUAUUAAGGCAUAGGGGAUCCUGUACCGACAGACCAAGUUUCUCCACAUGAAGUCUGUUGUCUUCUUCUCUGUGAUCCUGCUAAGGGCUUCUACCUCUAUCCACUUCGUGAAGUAGUCUAUCGCAACUAUUGCAUGUGUUGCUGCUCUUCGUCCCUUUGGCAACGGACCGAUCAGAUCAAUUCCCCAUUGAGUAAAUGGCCAAAGGGAGGCCAUAGAGGUGAGCUUCUCUAGUGGUUGGUUGGAGAAACUUGCAAAACUCUGGCAGCUUACACAGCUCUUGGUCUUCUCCUGCACAUCCUGGUGCAUUGUCGGCCAGAAAUAUCCCUGCCUUAGAACCUUGUGGGCCAAGGACCUCCCACCAGAAUGGUUUCCGCAAAUUUCUUCAUGUACUUCUCUCAGUACGUAAUCCGCGUCGUCCUCAUCUAAACACCGAAGGAACGGUAGCGUAUACCCUCGCCGAUAUAGUACCCCAUCAAUCAUUGUGUAUCUCGAGGCCUGGGCUAUAAUUUUCCGAGCUCGCAGCUUAUCUAGUGGUAAUACCCCAUCUCUAAGGUAUGAAAUUAUCGGAUCCAUCCACAAGCAUUUUUAUUCUAUCCGCAGCACCUUCAGAUUUUGCUCGAUACUCGGGUUGGACUUCACCUCCAGAGGGAUCGACUUUGGCAUUUUUGGGUCUGCUACCGCUGCCAUCCUGGCCAAAAUAUCUGCUCGACUAUUCUGCUCCCUGGGGAUUUAUAUCACCUUUACCGCUUCAAAUUUUCCCAUCAUCUGCCUGACUAUCUUCAGGUAUUGCUCCAUCUUCUCUUCUCUCGGUUGAAAUCUUUCACUGACAUGAUUCGCAACCAGCUGGGAAUCAUUUCUAAUCUUCACUCUAUCUGCUUUCACGGCCUUAGCCAAUUCCAAACCUGCUAUCAAGGCUUCGUACUCUGCCUGGUUAUUUGUGGCCGCAAAUUGUAACUUUACAGCAUAAGAGAUCUCCUCCCCCUCUGGGCCUUCCAAGACAAUUCCUGCUCCUGAUCCUUGCUCCCCUGAUGACCCAUCUACAGACAUCUGCCAUACUCGGGCUUCGCUGCUGUCUGUAGCAAUAUCUAGCUGGUCCAAACAUAUUUCAGGCUCUACAAACUCUGCUACAAAAUCGGUCAUUGCUUGUGCCUUUAUCGCUGGUCGGGGUUUGUAAUCAAUGUCGAACUCGCUCAGCUCUAUAGCCCACUUCACGAGCCAACCAGAGGCAUCCGACUUGUGUAGGGUUUGACGCAACAGCUGGUUUGUUAUUACCGAGACGGGGAAUGCUUGAAAGUACGGUCUCAGCUUCCGAGCAGCGACCACAAGAGCGAGUGCCCAUUUCUCCAAAGGUGGGUAUCGAGUCUCAGCGUCAAGCAGGGCCUUGCUGGUGUAGUAUAUCGGAUACUGAACCCCUUCUUCCUCUCUCACCAGAACAGAACUUGUGGCACGAUCUGAUACCGCCAAAUACAAAGAUAACUUGUCCCCAUCCCUUGGUGUGGACAGCAGGGGUGCUUGCUGCAAGUAUUGCUUCAAGCUUUGAAAGGCCUCUUCGCAUUCUGGGGGCCAUUCUGUUUUUUUCCCUCUCCUUAUCACUUGAAAGAAUGGCUGACACUUAUCUGUAGCCUUGGAUAUGAAUCAGCUCAAUGCCGCCAGCCUCCCCGUAAAGCUCUGCAUCUCCUUCAGGUUACGAGGAGACGUCAUCUGUGUUAACAUAAAUAUGUUAAUAAUAUUGAUUUUGAUGAUAAAAAAUUUUAAAUGAUUUUUGAUAAAAGUAUUGGAGCUAUUUCUUAAUAAACGAGAGCCUUAGUAAUCAUUCCAUUCAUGCUUCAUAAAAGAUGGACUUUAAAAUUAAAAAAAAAAGAUUCUCUGCAAAAACUGGUUUAAAAUGCAAUUCUGGUUAUAAACGGUUCACCGUUUAUUUAAACGGUUAAUCGAUAACAGCCAGAGAGCAAACAUUUUCCCUAAACCUCUAACCGUUUAUGAAAAACGGAAAACACAAAAGAUAGGGAGGCUACUGGAAAUUAACGGUAAACCGUUUUUUAAACGGUUAACCGAUUAUCACCAGAGAGCAACAUAUUACCUAAGCUCUAACCGGUUAUGCUUAACAGAAAUCACCCAAAAUGGGAAGGCUACUGGAACCUAACGGUGAACCGUUUAUUUCAAACGGUUAACCGAUAAUAUCCAGAAACGUUACUUCAUGCAAGUCCUUAACCGUUUAGUGUAAAUGGAUAACAAAUGCUCUUCUUGCAGGUCUCUGGAAGUUAACGGCGAAGGGGCAAUCCUAAACGGCAAACCGUUUAUUUGAAAUCUGGCCUAACGGUAACUUUGACCAACCGAAACGGUUAACCGGUAAUGGUUAACGGCGAACCGUUUUCUGUCCGACAGUUUGUAACGGCUAGAUUUUCAAAUCCAAGUAUAAAUAAGCUCAUUCAAAUUCAAAGAAGAUUGAUCACAACACGACCAUUUUGAGCUAAUAUUUGAGAAUACAAUCUUCAUAGAGCUUAGAACACAUUCUUGCUUCAUCUACUCACAUAUUAAGCAUCAUUGUGUAAUCUUAUAUAUUGUGAGAGGCAAAACAGUUUGUAAUCUUUUACUUUGAGUGAUUGUAAGUGUUGGGAUACAUUUGGGUUAAGAGAUUGGGGAUAAUCUCUUGUUGUAAAGGUCCAUUGACACCUUGGAAGUCAAGUGUAAGCAUUUGAAGCCUUGGAGGCUUGCUUAGUGGAAUCCUCAAGCCCGGAAAGCUUGGAGGCGUGGACGUAGGCGAGGUUGGCCGAACCACGUAAAAAUCUCGGUGUUUGAAUCCCUCUUCCCUUAUCUUUUUAUAUUGUGAUCAUCUUAAUUGUUAUUGCUUUGAAUCUGAUUUAUAAUUGUAUUAAGUUUUUAUUUAAUAAAUUGAAUAAUUUUUUAGAAUCCCAAUUCACCCCCCUCUUGGGUUGCAUACUUGUAUUUCAAUUGGUAUCAGAGCCUCGUUCUCUUAUUAAGACUUAAUCGUCUAGAGUAAAAGAUCCAUGGCAACCCUAAAUGACUCAACCUUUAGAGAAGGGCAAUCCACAACUAGACCACCAUUUUUCGAUGGUAAUGACUAUGCUUAUUGGAAAACUAGAAUGAGAAUCUAUUUGCAAGCCUUAGAUUAUGAAAUUUGGGAAGUUGUUUGUGAUGGUCCAUUCAUGCCUACUUUCAAAGAUGAAGUAGGAGAUGAUAUUCCUAAACCAUCGAGUCAAUGGAGUGAGUUAGAAAAGAGAAAGAUGUCUCUAAACUCCAAGGCUAUGAAUGCUUUGUUUUGUGCCCUUGAUAAGAAAGAAUUCCAUAGAGUAUCUAGUUGUGAAAGUGCACAAAAGAUAUGGAACAAUCUUGAAGUUGUCUAUGAAGGGACAAAUCAAGUGAAAGAGUCUAAAAUCAGUAGAUACACUCGUCAAUAUGAGUUGUUCCAAAUGGAACAAAAUGAAAAUGUGUAUUCUAUGUACACUAGAUUCACGGACAUAGUGAACACCCUAGGUGCCUUAGGGAAAACCUUCUCAAAUAGUGAGAAAGUUAAGAAAAUCAUUAGGUCACUUCCAAAAGAAUGGAGACCUAAAAGAACCGCUAUUGAAGAGGCCAAAGAUUUAAAUACUUUACCUCUUGAUGAUUUAAUUGGUUCUCUUAUUUCGUAUGAAGAGGAUUUAGCUGCAGAAAAAGGACAUGAGGAGAAGAAGAAAAUCAUUGCUCUCAAAGCUUCAAAAUAUGAGAGUGAUGGGGAGAGUGAACCGGAUGAUGAAGAGCUAGCCAUGCUAGCAAGGAGGUUCAGAAAAUUCUUCAAGAAAACCGGAGAGCGAAGAAAUUUCAGAAACUUCAAGAACUAUAGGGAGAAGAAGGAGGCAAUCACUUGCUAUGAAUGCAAGAAGCCUGGACAUAUAAGAUCGGAGUGCCCACUUAUCAACAAACUUAAGAAGAAAGCAAUGGUUGCAACUUGGGAUGAUAAUGAGGAAGAAUCAAAUGAUGAAGAAGGAUCGCAAGAAGUAUCAAACCUAGCACUCAUGGCAAUAGGAGGGGAUGAUGAUCUCAAUGAGGUAAGUGAUCCUACCUAUGAUGAAUUAUAUGAUGCUUUUCAAGAUUUGCAUAAUGAGUUGAUGAAAAUUGGUAAAAAGAAUGUAUGUCUUAAAAAGGAAAUGAAAAAGCUUAAAAAUGAAAAUGAAUCUCUAAAUGCAAGAAUUGUAUGCCUAGAAGUAGGAAACAAAACAUUGCAUGAUGAAAUUGCAUUAUCAAAUGAGAAACCUAGCAUUUUACAUGAGCAUUUGAAAUCACACAUAGAUGAGUUGAAAAAUGAGAACGAAUUGCUCAAGAAAAAGAAUAAUGAAUUGAAUGAAAUUGUUUUGAAAUUUACAAAUGGGCAAAAGAUGUUGGAUAAUAUGCUUAACUCACAAAAAUGUGUUUUUGAUAAAGGAGGACUUGGAUAUAAGCCUAACUUGAAGCAAAAGUAUUAUAAGAAUUAUUUUGUUAAAGCUACCUCCACACAUGAUCAUAAGAUUGUAUGUCAUUAUUGUAAUCAAAAUGGUCACAUGAAAUUUAGAUGUCCCGUGAAAAGGAAUGCAUAUUAUGGUAUCAAAUGCAUUUGGGUUCCAAAAGGAACCGUUGCUAACCCUCAAGGACCCAAAAAACUUUGGGUACCUAAAACUUGAGAUUUUUUCUUGUAGGGCUUGAAGAAGAAAAAUAAAUGGUACUUGGACAGCGGUUGUUCAAGGCACAUGACCGGAAACUAUGCAUGGUUCUCAAGCUUCACCAAAAUUGAAAAUGGUGGAGACGUAUCUUUUGGAGACAACUCAAAAGGAAAAAUUCUUGGAAUUGGAAAUGUUGGUAAAGUCUCUUCAACUCUAAUUGAGAAUGUAUGGUUGGUUGAAAACUCGAAACACAACUUAAUUAGCAUUAGUCAAUUAUGUGACAAAGGCUAUAAAGUUAUUUUUGAUAAAUUUAGUUGUGUUAUUGAGAACUCAUGUGAUGGCAAGACCUUAUUUGUUGGAAAUAGAUGUGGUAAUGUUUAUAUCAUUGACAUAGAAUGUGUAUCUAAUCUUGAUAAAUGUUUUUCGGCAUUGCAUGAUGAUUGUUGGUUGUGGCAUAGAAGGUUAGGACAUGCAAGUAUGGAUUUGAUUUCAAAAAUUUCGAAAGAUGAUUUAGUUAAAGGUCUUCCGAAAAUUGGUUUUCAAAAGGAUAAAAUUUGUAAAGCUUGUCAAUUUGGAAAACAAAUUAAAACUUCUUUCAAGAAUAAAAACCAUAUUUCUACUUCAAAACCACUUGAACUUCUUCACAUAGAUCUUUUUGGGCCAUCUAGAUAUUCAAGUCUAAAUGGCAAAUAUUAUGCUUUUGUGAUAGUGGAUGAUUAUUCUAGAUAUACAUGGGUAUUAUUCUUAGCCAAUAAGGAUGAUGCUCUUGAUGCAUUUAAAGUGCUUUGUAAGAAAUUACAAAAUGAAAAAGGGCAUGGUAUUGUAUGCAUUAGGAGUGAUCAUGGAGGAGAAUUUGAAAAUCAUGCAUUUGAGAGUUUUUGCAAUAAUCUAGGCAUUGAGCAUCAAUUUUCUUCACCUAGAACUCCACAACAAAAUGGAGUUGUUGAGAGAAAGAAUAGGUCUAUUUAAGAAAUGGCUAGGACCAUGUUAAAUGAAAAUGCAUUACCAAAAUAUUUUUGGGCUGAAGCCGUCAACACCGCUUGUUAUGUUUUAAAUCGGGUGUUGAUUAGACCUAAUCUUAAUAAAACUCCAUAUGAGCUUUGGAAAGAUAGAAAACCCAACAUUGGCUAUUUUAAAGUUUUUGGAUGCAAAUGUUUUGUUUUGAACACAAAAGACAAUCUUGGUAAAUUUGAUUCAAAAUCCGAUGUUGGUAUUUUUCUUGGUUAUUCAAAUUCAAGCAAAGCUUAUAGAGUCUACAACAAAAGAACUUUAGUUGUGGAAGAAUCUAUGCAUGUCUCAUUUGAUGAGUCUAACCUCUCCUCUACGGAGAAAGUUGUUGUUGAUGAUGAUGCAGGAGAAGAAGAACAAGAAGAAGAAGCAUCAAAUGACAAUCAAGAGAAUGCACCACAUGGAAUUCAAGAGGAACAUCAUGAAGAAUCAAAUGUGGAGCAAAAUGAAGGUACUUCUCAAACACUCCCCAAGGAGUGGAGGUAUGUCUCUUCUCACCCUAAAGAUGUAAUUUUAGGAGAUCCCACACGAGGUAUAACAACUAGAUCAUCACUUAGAAAUACUUGUGAGCAUAAUGCAUUCAUCUCUCAAAUUGAACCAAAAUCCUUUGAGGAUGCAGAAAAUGAUGAAUCUUGGAUUAUGGCAAUGCAAGAGGAGUUAAAUCAAUUUGAAAGAAACAAUGUGUGGGAAUUAGUUCCUAAACCUGAACAUCAAUCUAUAAUAGGUACUAAAUGGGUGUUUAGAAAUAAGAUGGAUGAAUCCGGUGUGGUUGUAAGAAACAAAGCUAGAUUAGUGGCUCAAGGUUACAACCAAGAAGAAGGUAUUGAUUUUGAUGAAACCUUUGCUCCUGUAGCAAGGUUAGAAUCCAUUAGGAUGUUGUUAGCAUAUGCAUGUCAUAAAGAUUUUAUUUUAUUUCAAAUGGAUGUGAAAAGUGCUUUCCUAAAUGGGUAUAUUAUGGAAGAAGUGUAUGUAAAACAACCCCCUGGUUUUGAAAAUGAAAAAUUUUCAAAUCAUGUUUAUAAGUUGCUUAAAGCUUUGUAUGGUUUAAACAAGCACCUAGAGCAUGGUAUGAUAGACUUAAGAAUUUUCUGUUGGAAAAUGACUUUUCAAUGGGUAAAGCGGAUACUAUUCUAUUUGUUAAGCAUAAGAACCAAGACAUACUUAUUGUUCAAAUUUAUGUUGAUGAUAUCAUUUUUGGUUCUACUAAUGAGUUGUUGUGUAAAGAAUUUUCAUCAUGUAUGAGCAAAGAAUUUGAGAUGAGUAUGAUGGGAGAGUUGAAAUACUUCCUUGGACUUCAAAUCAAACAAAACGAGGAAGGAAUUUUCAUAAAUCAAGCCAAGUACGUAAAGGAUCUACUCAAACGAUUCGGCAUUGAUGAUUCAAAAACCAAGAAUACACCAAUGAGCACAACAACCAAGCUGGACAAAGAUGAAAAAGGUAAAGAAGUGGACAUCAAAAUGUAUCGAGGUAUGAUCGGAUCCCUACUUUAUUUGACUGCAAGUAGACCGGAUAUCAUGUUUAGUGUAUGUUUGUGUGCAAGAUUUCAGUCUUGUCCCAAGGAAUCUCAUUUGCUCGCUGUUAAAAGAAUUUUCCGUUAUUUGAGUGGAACCAUAGAUAUUGGCCUUUGGUAUCCUAGGGGAACUCACAUAGAUUUAACAUGUUUUUCGGAUGCGAAUUUUGCUGGUUAUAAAGUGGAUAGGAAGAGCACUAGUGGAACUUGCUAUAUUCUAGGACACUCUCUUGUUUCAUGGUUUAGCAAGAAACAAAAUUCUGUCGCACUUUCAACUACCGAGGCUGAAUAUAUAGCUGCCGGAAGUUGUUGUGCACAAGCUCUUUGGAUGAAACAAACACUUAGAGAUUAUGACAUUAAUCUUGAACAAAUUCCUAUUAAGUGUGAUAAUACUAGUGCUAUAAACCUUUCAAAGAAUCCCAUUCAACACUCUCGAACCAAGCAUAUAGAAAUAAGACAUCAUUUCUUGAGAGAUCAUGUUCAAAGGGGGAUAUUGCAUUAGAGUUUAUUUCCACGGAAAAACAACUUGCCGAUAUUUUCACAAAACCCCUUUGCGAAGAACAAUUUUCAAAAAUUCGGCAUGAACUUGGGAUGAUGAAAUUUUUGCAUUAACAUCUCUAUUCAUGCUAUUGAGUGUACUGAAUUGAUUGAUUACUUUUUAUAAAGUGCUUGAGCUUGGUAGAUAAAUGAUGAUUUUGCGUUGAUAACUCUUGAUUAUAUGAAUUGAUUGGUUGAAAACUUGUCCAUGAAUCAUGCAUUAAAUUGACUCAUAAAAUAUUUUCAGAUCAAUUAAAUGAUCUUGGAAUAUAUUAUUUGCUAGCCAAAAAUUAAAUCAAAUGUGCGAAAUUGCAGAUAAAAUAAACGGUUAGCAGUUUCCUAUAAACGGAUCACCGUUUAAUUCCAGAAACUAGAUUUUGUGUUUGUCCAUUUACCCUUUCACCGUUUUCCACAAUCGGUGAACCGUUUUUCAACAGAGAAUCCUCUUACAAGUUACUCCUUAGCCGUUAAGCACUUAGGCUUUCACCGUUUCCCGUUCUUCAGCCGCUGGAAGUUACCCUUUAACCGUUUCAAUAAACGGUUAACCGUUUUCGCAAAGUAUAAAACUGUUCAAAGGUUUUCUUCUCCUUCUCCAGUUACCCUCUCACCGUUUCCUCCAUUGUUGCGCAACCGAAGGUCUCCUUGUCCUCAAAUCCUCAUUUUUCUUGCUUUCCGUGCCCAAUCAAAUCCUCAAAAUCAUUUCUUAUCACCGUUAGAACAUUUCUACCGAUUCAAAACUUCAAAUCGAGCCCAAAAUUUAAAAAUCCCAAAUCUCAACCCUAACUGUCGCGGGUCGGGUUUCUUCGUUCUUAAUCCGAUUUCCACCUCUCUUCAACCAAAUUGAACAUCCUCUACUCUUUCUUAACCCUUUUAUUGGUUCAUUUUCGUCCCAUUACGCAUUGCCAUGGCUGAACCCCCUCGGAGAAAUAUCAGGCGUAAAUCUGUGCCUCCAAGGAAUCCCAUACCACCUUGGGAGGUCUCUGAAUUUUCAAGGAUUCACUUCCCCACACCUUCCUUGGCCAAGCGGUUCGAAGAACGCUUCGAUGGUCGAAAGGUACUUGAAUCCUUCUUUGUUGACAUUGAUGAUUUUCGUAAUUUGGUUGUAUGUGGUAGAAGUAUUCGGGAUAUGCUUCAGCCUUGGGAGUCUGGCAUUGAUUUUGAUGACCGAGUUUAUCCAAACUUAGUGCGAGUCUUUUAUUCGAACAUGGAAAUCUCUGAUACUCGCCCAAAUAGGAUAGUCACUCAAGUCGGCCGUGUACCCAUAGAAUUUGAUGAUGCGGACUUAGCUGACUUUCUAGGUAUCCCUUGUGAGGGGCUUGACAUUUAUACCUCUAGGAAAACCCUCUCCUUUGAUACUUUUUCUCAUACUCAUGGCGUCCGUAAUAUAUGUCGUCGUAGAGACUUAUCGGAUGAGAUUUGUAUGCUUCCAUUUCGGUCUCAACUUUUACCUCUCUAAGUUCGUAUUCUUCACUCUAUUUUACAGCACAUAGUGACUCCUAGGAAGGGUCACUCGGAUGAGGUUACGAGGUUGGACGUUGCCCUAUUGGAUAGCCUUCUUAUAGACCGUCCCAUUAACCUCGGGUAUAUUAUUGUGCGACAUAUGUUGAGUACUCCAGUGGUCAACCACCGCUUGCUUCCUUAUGGCAGUAUCAUCACUAAGAUACUGCGACGCUUUGAGGUUCCACUUCUUGAUACUGGUCACAUGGAGACUAGGCGGAUUGGUCCCGAGGCCAUGACUAGUAUCGGUUUCUCUAGGAAGAAUGGAGAGUGGAUAAAGACAAGCAACGCCAAAAACCGGGAUACCUUGAUUGCUCCAGAGGACGAUCGGAUGCUCAAUGAUAUCUAUCAUCCCGAUCAGCUUCCUGACUUUAGACUAGGCGCUCAUCCUCAUCCUCUGCGUCGCCGUUUUGUUCCUCAGCCUCCAGCUGACUCAGACUUUGAGGAGCGUGCGAUGGAUGCUGACAUUCCCUCCUCUUCCGAGCUGCCACCUGCUCCUGAGCCUUCUGCUGUUCCCGAGCAGCCAUCUACCUCUAUGCCGCCCCCAGCUCCAGUUCAGCCCCCUGCUUCAGACGCAGUGCAGCAGCUGAUCACUGAUGUUCAGCGGAUUUCGGAGCGCCAGCAACUGAUUCUUGAUCGGUUGGACACUCUUUCCCGUGACCACCAGCAGCUGCGUUCUGACUUUCAGAUAUUCCAGCGGCAGAGCCUUGAUCAGCAGAUGGAGCUUAUCGCUGGACAUCGCACUAUUCUUGGCUAUUUCGGCUAUGAUCCGGGGAGCACGUCUUCUCCGCCUCCGUAGUUUCUGAGCUUUGUCUUCGCACAUACAUUUUACAUUUUGGUUGCUAGCAUUCUUAUUAUUAUUUUGAUUUUGAUGCAUAUGUGUGUGAUGUUCUUGAUGAUUAGCUUAUUAAUGCUCUGUGAUUGCCUAAUUGGUUGGAUAUUGUAGAAAUGGUUUCUUUGUGGAUAUUGGAGUGUUGGUAUAUUUGUGGAUAUUGAAGUGUUAUUUUGUCUUGUUUAUGGAGUUGUUGGCUUGUUGAAAGCAGAAGUUAAUGUUGAUCUAAUUUUGGAAGUGUUUUAUCUCAUUUUGUAUUUAUGGUUUUACUCAUUUUUAAGGGGAAACUCUGCCAAAAUUUUCGCUUGCCAAAACCGGGCACUUUCUUUAACGGAUUUGCGUAUUUCUUAUUUCCUCUUUUCUUUUUGAUGAUGAAGGGGGAGAUAAUUAUGGUUUUUAAGAUAGUUUUUUAAAUGGGGAGAUAUUCUUUUAAGAUGGAUUUAAAAUGGGGCGAUUUAAAGCAAAAAUCCUUUUAUUCACAUUUCUCAAUUUGGCCAUACAUUUAGGGGGAGCACAUAUUAAGGGGGAGCUAAACAUUUAUUAGAAUUUGUCAUCAUUAAAAAGGGGGAGAUUGUUAACAUAAAUAUGUUAAUAAUAUUGAUUUUGAUGAUAACAAAUUUUAAAUGAUUUUUGAUAAAAGUAUUGGAGCUAUUUCUUAAUAAACGAGAGCCUUAGUAAUCAUUCCAUUCAUGCUUCAUAAAAGAUGGACUUUAAAAUUAAAAAAAAAAAAGAUUCUCUGCAAAAACUAGUUUAAAAUGCAAUUCUGGUUAUAAACGGUUCACCGUUUAUUUAAACGGUUAACCGAUAACAGCCAGAGAGCAAACAUUUUCCCUAAACCUCUAACCGUUUAUGAAAAACGGAAAACACAAAAGAUAGGGAGGCUACUGGAAAUUAACGGUAAAUCAUUUUUUAAACGGUUAACCGAUUAUCACCAGAGAGCAACAUAUUACCUAAGCUCUAACCGGUUAUGCUUAACAGAAAUCACCCAAGAUGGGAAGGCUACUGGAACCUAACGGUGAACCGUUUAUUUCAAACGAUUAACCGAUAAUAUCCAGAAAUGUUACUUCAUGCAAGUCCUUAACCGUUUAGUGUAAAUGGAUAACAAAUGCUCUUCUUGCAGGUCUCUGGAAGUUAACGGCGAAGGGGCAAUCCUAAAUGACAAACCGUUUAUUUGAAAUCUGGCCCAACGGUAACUUUGACCAACCGAAACGGUUAACCGGUAAUGGUUAACGGCGAACCGUUUUCUGUCCGACAGUUUGUAACGGCUAGAUUUUCAAAUCCAAGUAUAAAUAAGCUCAUUCAAAUUCAAAGAAGAUUGAUCACAACACGACCAUUUUGAGCUAAUAUUUGAGAAUACAAUCUUCAUAGAGCUUAGAACACAUUCUUGCUUCAUCUACUCACAUAUUAAGCAUCAUUGUGUAAUCUUAUAUAUUGUGAGAGGCAAAACAGUUUGUAAUCUUUUACUUUGAGUGAUUGUAAGUGUUGGGAUACAUUUGGGUUAAGAGAUUGGGUAUAAUCUCUUGUUGUAAAGGUCCAUUGACACCUUGGAAGUCAAGUGUAAGCAUUUGAAGCCUUGGAGGCUUGCUUAGUGGAAUCCUCAAGCCCGGAAAGCUUGGAGGCGUGGACGUAGGCGAGGUUGGCCGAACCACGUAAAAAUCUCGGUGUUUGAAUCCCUCUUCCCUUAUCUUUUUAUAUUGUGAUCAUCUUAAUUGUUAUUGCUUUGAAUCUGAUUUAUAAUUGUAUUAAGUUUUUAUUUAAUAAAUUGAAUAAUUUUUUAGAAUCCCAAUUCACCCCCCUCUUGGGUUGCAUACUUGUAUUUCAAUCUGAACGAUCGCCUGGAUCUUCUCGGGAUUUGCCUCAAUCCCCCUAUGACUCACCAUGAAUCCGAGGAAUUUUCCUGACUCGACCCCAAAAGUACACUUUUCCGGGUUGAGCUUCAUCUUGUACUUCCUCAAAAGUACGAAUGUCUCCUCGAGGUGCUCGACAUGUUCCUUCGAGAUUUUCGACUUAGUUAUCAUGUCGUCCACGUACACCUCCAUUGUUCUCCCAAUCAAUGACUUAAAGACUUUGUUCACCAGCCUCUAGUACGUGGCCCCCGUAUUUUUAAGACCGAAUGGCAUUACCCUGUAACAGAACAGACCCUGGUUAGUAAUAAAUGUCGUGCUCUCCUCAUCCUGCUCGAACAUGGGGAUUUGGUUGUAUCCCGAGAAUGCGUCCAUGAAGUUGAGCAGGCCAUGUCCAGCUGUUGAGUCUACCAGCUGGUCGAUCUUUGGUAAAGGAAAGCUGUCUUUCGGGCAUGCUUUGUUGAGAUCCAUGAAAUCCACACACAUCCUCCAUUUACCAUUGGCCUUUUUUACUAAUACGACAUUCGAUAUCCACUCCGGAUAGUUGACUUCUCGAAUGAACCCUGCCUUCAAGAGUUUCUCCACUUCACCGUUUAUAGCCUCAUAUCUCUCCUGGUUGAAGCACCUCAUUUUCUGCCUUAUUGCCCGAGCACUCUUUUUUAUUGCCAACCUAUGGCAUGCGACCUUAGGGUCGAUUCCCGGCAUGUCUUCGUGUGUCUAGGCAAACACAUCUGCAUGUGCUCGUAAGCAAUGGACCAGCUCCUGCUUCUGUUCAUCUUGAAGUCUCGACCCGAUUUGGACUGUUUUUCCAGGGUCAUCCUGCUGCAAGCUUACUGUCUCUAGUUCCUUUAUAGGCUCUUGUCUGCCAAUUUUGGUCUCUAUUCGAGUAUCAAGGGAUGUAAUAUGCAUUGCUUCCCUUGCUGCCAAGGAGUAGCAGCUUCGUGCUAUUCUCUGGUCUCCUCGUACCACUCAACUACCACAUUAACCCGGUACUUGAGAGCUAGAUAAUGGUUGGACAGUACCGCUUUGCUCAUCUUCAGAAAUGGCCGACCUAGGAUCAUCUGGUAAGGACCUUCUUCAUCCACUACCACAAAGUCCAGUAUCAUAGUCCUUUUUUGUCGGGGAGCUCCCAAUCAUGAUAAGUAGCUCGACCACGCCCAGAGGGACCAGCUUUCCUCCUCCAAAUCCCUUCAAGGAGGUAUUGGUAUACUCCAACUUCAGGUUUGCUAUUCCCAUCUCCUCCAGAGUUGACUUAAACAACACAUCAACUGAGCUCCAUGUGUCAACCAGUAUCCGGUCAAACUUCUUGGUAGCAACAGUGGCCUUGAUAACUAAAGCAUCCUCGUGGGGGUAUAGAAUCGCUUCUUCAUCCUCAUUUAUCCACAUGAUUGGCACUUACCUGACUCUUGCUCGUUUGGCUGCUAGGGUGUUGAAGAAUACUUCUUUACUAGUCAUGGUGUAUCUAGCAUAAUUCUUCCUCGAUCUGUUGGAAUCUCCGGCCAAUGUUGGGCCCCCAGCUAUCACCCUUACUGUGGGUUACUCGCGCCUCAAGUUUCUGUCACUCUGCUCCCCUUCACAUGUCAAGGCCACCAUCGGGAAAAUCCCAUCUAUAAACUCGUCCAGGUACUGAUUUCUCACCAAAUCUUCAACCUGAGUCUUGAGAUCUCUGUAUUCUAUAGUGGUAUGGUCAUGAGUGCCAUGGAACUUACAAUAACGUCCCUUAUCCCUCCUACUGGGUAGCUUUGUUAUUGGGGCAGGGAGGUACAGUAGUCCACGGUCCUUUAUGGCCUCGUACACCUCGUCUAGGGGUAUCUUCAAUGAAGUAUAUCGCCCAUAAUCCUGGUUCUAGUCGAUCAUGUGCACUGCCCUUUCUCUAUUUGUGCCAUUCUGAGUUGGAGGCGGUGGCAGUGCUUCUGGUCUGCUCCCUCUACUACCGUGGGAGUGUGGAUGAAGACCACCAUAUACCGAGUCAUGUCUUCUCCAAGGCUCCCUAGCUGGUGAGCGAGGAGGCUGUGCUCUGCUGCGCUGAUACUGUGGUAGCCUCUGAUAAGGCUGAUAAGCGGUUACCCGACCUCCUGCACUACUACCUGAGGCCUGGUGGUCCUUCCUCCUGAUCGGCCCAUUUCCCUAGUAAUGCUCUCUUCUCUUUCUUUCCCAACCCUUCUAGCUGGUCUGUCUUAAUCAGUGCUGUCUUCUCUUCCUCAAUCUUUAUGUCCCUUUUAGCCUGCUCGUAUGCGGCUGCAUACGUCUGAAUAACUGGGCUUCUCAAGUUGUACCACAACCUUCCUAUCUUCACCUCUUCUUUCAAUCCCUUUAAUGCCUGAGGAUGGUUGAAGGCUCCCAAAUUAAGGACAACACGAUGAAACCUCUUGAUGAAUUCCCGAAGGGUUUCUUGCUCCCCCUGCUUCAUGCUUUUCAACUUCAUCAUGUCAUCUUCUGGUGCCAUUGCCCCACGAAACUGUUCUGUAAAUUCUUGGCACAUCUGCUUGAAAGUUGUAAUGCUCCCCCGAGGAAGUUUCUUGUACCACUCGCGUGCGCGUCCCUCUAGGGAUAGUGGGAACACCCUGCACCUUUGGGCUUGAGAUAAUCUUUGCACCCCGGUUAUGUCGUUGAAGUGCUCUAUGUGCACCAACGGGUCAGUUUGUCCCGAAUAUAUAAGGUCUGGAAGGCGAAAAUCUCUUGGAAUGACUGCCCUCAUGAUCUCUGCCGCGAGCGGUAAUUCUCUGUCCAGCAUUAUCCUCCAACCAGGAGCUCUGCUCAUUCCUUGCAUGUCAUCAAUUACCUGCGCUAGUCUGUGUACUUCCUCCUCCAACUGCACUGCACGACCAGGGUCACAUGCUGCAACUUGAUCCCGCUCUUGCUCUACAUUAUGUAAGUGUUGCCUAAGCUCUGUUUCCUCUGCAUUCGCCACCCCGUCGUCCUCAUAAAAAAUCUGUCUCGCUGGGGAUUGCUCUUCCUCUCUAUGAAUUUCUCCCCACAGAGAUAAGUUACCUCUCUCACCUUCAGAUCUCCUGGUGGUUUGACUUCUCCUCGUAAUUUCGUGACUUGGUGCCACUCUACCACCUCUCACUCUUUCCUCCUGGGUUCCCCUUCGUUCACUCCGUAGCUCAUGCAGGAUGGUUGUCAGGGUCUCCAUCCGCUUUUCCAUCCGUUCUAUCCGGUCAAACAUGGCUUUUUCCCGUGCUUCACUGGCUAUCUCCCUCAGCGUCAUGGAAUCGUUAAGCCUCAUAUCACUCCCUUGUGCACUACCUCCUUCUGCCUCUAUUAUUUUUCCACUUGCUUUGCUCCUCUUCUUGCUGUCAACAGAAGCUUUUUGACCAGUCCCCACAGACGGCGCCAAAAUGUUGAUGCGAGAUUCUGGUUACCCUCCUUACACGACCAGGAUCUCUGCUCGAUCAACUCUACCACGAUCAGGAUCUCUCCUCGUAAUGCUUCUUCAUCAGAAGUUCCUGCGUACACAGAAAUAGGUAAGAGCACGCCGGUUGUUUUCCCGGUGUAAAUCCUCUGACGCUUAAGUCAGAAAUGAAGGUUUUGUGUUCCUCGGAAUGCUAGCCACAAAUCUUAUGGCGUAUCAAUUCUUUAGAGCUCUCUUUUUUUUUUUUAGUUCUAAUCUCAAAAAUUCUAACCCUUUUACCUUCGUUGGCUGCCUUUUUAUAGGCUUUUCCUGAGUUCAGAUCUUCCCCCUCAUUCACCCCCGUUACCUUCCCACCUCUCGAAAAUGGAUGCUCCGUUUCCGCAAUCGUGGGUGGUUGCAUGGCCUUCGUGUCUUGAUUCUCGGAUUGGAGAGGACGUCUCGCCAACUGUCGUUGACCGGGUCUCCUCGCCUCGACCCUUAGCAGGAAUGGCUUUAUGCCUCUAACAUGAGUCCGGCCUCGUGGAUGGCAUAUUCGUGGACGAGCAGAAUAUUCCUGCUCUUGUUCCCCUGCUACCAGACUCUUACAGGAUACACCUGUUCGCAAAACUCUGCCACUAGAUAUCUGCUCAUCACGUCUGGUCUCGUUGAAGUACUUUCCCCAAACACCUUGUUAGUAAUAUUUUAUUAGAAAGGCUAAUUCAGGCUUGCCAGCGCUCUGCCGACAUUUUCUGCUUCAAUGGGUUCCACAUAGCCAUUAUAAGAAAUCGCCCACGAUUUCUCUCCUAUGAUGAUAAUAGACAAGGAUGGCACAAUAGAGAGGUUUGUGGGCAAUGACAUAGUUCCUCUAUCAUUUGAUUAAAAAACAAACGUUGAUUCCAAAGACGUUUUGUAUUUACCUGAAAAUACUUUAUCCGCUCGUCUUUACAUUCCGAAAAACCCAAAAGAUCAAAACCAAAAACUUCCUCUUGUGGUUUAUUUUCACGGUGGAGGCUUCUGCGUCCACACUGCCUUUUCUUCUACUUACAAUAAUUACCUCAACAAUUUAGUUUCUGAAGCUAACAUCAUAGCAGUCUCGGUUGAUUAUCGGAGAGCCCCGAAGAAUCCGAUCCCCUGUGCUCAUGACGAUUCAUGGACUGCAAUCAAAUGGGUUGCUUCCCAUGUUGAUGGGGAUGGCCCAGAAGAAUGGCGUGAGGCAAUGUGGCAAUUUGUUUAUCCUAGCAUGAUUGACUGCGAUGAUCCAUUGAUUAAUCCAGCGGUUGGUUCGAACCUAGCGAGCCAACAGGGAUGCGCCAGAAUGCUGGUUUUUGUUGCGGAGGAGGAUAUGCUAAGAUAUAGGGGAUGGUUUUAUUGUAAGAAGUUGAAGGAGAGUGGGUGGAAAGGCGAUGUGGAGAUUGUUGAGUCUCAAGGAGAGUUGCAUGCGUUCCAUUUGCGCAAUCCAGAUUGCGAAAAUGCUGUGUCUAUGCUCAAGAAAACUGCUGCUUUCUUUAGCCACGACAAUGCUUGAAUUCGAAUUUAUAUGGGUUGUUUUCGCCUCUUGUACUCUUUCUCCAAUCUAAAAGCUUAUCUUUACUUUGUAUUACAGAAACUAAUCAUCUCGAAACGAUUUGUACAAAUUUUUAUUAUGAAUUUGAAAAAAUAUGUAUACCUGGUAUUUUAAUUUAUAAGAGAAAUAUAGUUUAACUAGGUGUUUGAUGAAAGUAACUAAAUGUUCGAUGAAAUGCCUCAAAAAAGACAUUUGGCUGCAACUACGGAAUUUUGAAUAUUACAAGCAGUCCUUUUGUAACACAUGUUCUUGCGCCCUUAGAGUACUACCCAAUAAAAUAUAUUAUGAACUAUAUUCAAUGUUAUUUAAUUAUAUAUCUACUUGUACUCCAAUGUUCUCUCUCUAUCUCUUUUGUUUUUUUUUUUGGCUUUUUAAUAACUAUUUUAAUUAAUCAAGCUUAUGAAUAAUGAGGAUUGAAUAUUAAAGAGUUUAAUUGUAUAGGAGCCAAUUUGUGAAAAAGAAACUACAGUUUGAUUCGAUUUAACCUAGCUCUAAAUUCACCUUUCAUUGUUAUUCCGCCGUCUGCAAGAUGGAUGGAUGUACCAUGCCCAUUAUUUCAGAGAACUGACUUAAGCGACCACACUGCAAAUGUAAUUUGCUACGAGACACAAUUACGCAUAAUUUUUCAACAUGUUUCUAGAUGUCAAAAGUAUCUAUCAAUAAUUGAAUGACACUUAUCACGUUAUCAAAAGCUCUUGUAUGUGGAGAGGAAUUAAUUGAGUUUUGUUUUCAUCGCCUCCAACGUUACGUACCCAACGCCAAUCGAGUGGGCUCCCCCUACUGUACUCGCACCCAUCCCAUAUUCCCACCCAAUAUUGGGUUCACGGAUUCGAGUUCCAUUCUUAUGAUAGGAUUCUUGAUAUUUUAAGUAAGAAUAAACAAUUGAAUAUACACACGUAUGUAUGUAUUAUAAUAUAUAUAUAUAUAUAUAUACAAACAAUUAAAAUUUUUUUACUUCUUGGUAAUAUUUAAAGAUAAUAUUAUAUUUAUUUAAUUGAGAUAUUUAUAUUUACGGAUAAAUAAUUAAUAUUUUUUAUUUUUAAUUUAAAUAAUAAAAUUUUAUUCCUAAUACAUUAAUUAAUAUAUCAACUAAAUAUAUUAAAUUAAGAAAAAUUUUAAAAUACAUCAGAAAUAUCAUAUCAAUUAUAUAAUAAUUAAAUAAUAUUAACAUGUGUGUAUUUAUUUAAAAAAAAUAUUAUAUAAAUAAUAGUUAUAUUAAAUUUAAUUAUCCGUACAACAAUUAAUUAAUUGUAAUACAGAUGACUCAAUCAAAUAAAAACAGUAAUUUUGUCCUGCACAGGCCAAAUCCUUUCGUUAUCAUCUUUACAAAAGCAAACGCCCUCCACAUUUUGUGCUCUGCUUCUUCUCGAUGGAUUCCGCCAACGCAUCAUCAGAAGUCGCCCAUGACUUCUCUCCUUUGAUAAAAGUACACAAAGACGGCAAAGUAGAAAGGCUCAGGGGCACCGAUAUCGUUCCCCCAUCACUUGAUCCCAAAACAAACGUUGAUUCCAAAGACGUUGUGUAUUCUCCUGAAAAUAAUUUAUCUGCUCGGCUUUACCUCCCGAAAAACACAAAUCAAAACCAAAACUUCCCCUUCUUGUUUAUUUUCAUGGCGGAGGUUUUUGUAUCGAGACUGCUUUUUCACCAACUUACCAUAAUUACCUCAACGACUUGGUCUCUGAAGCUAACAUCAUCGCAGUCUCCGUCGACUACCGAAGAGCCCCAGAGCAUCCCCUUCCUAUCGCUUAUGAAGAUUCAUGGGACGCAGCCAAAUGGGUUGCUUCCCAUGUUGACGGAAAUGUCCCCAAAGAUUGGCUCAACCGUAAUGCUGAUUUUGAGCGAGUGUUUUACUCUGGGAACAGCGCUGGUGCUAAUAUUGCUCAUCACAUGGCAAUAAGAAACGGUGGAGAAAUUAUCGACGGCUUUAAUGUUGUUGGUAUUGUCUUGAUUCAUCCAUACUUUUGGGGUGUUGAACCUGUUGGUUCCGAGCCUACUGAUGUUAAAAUAAGAGCUGGAACGGAGAGAUUUUGGCGAUUUACUUGUCCAAGCACAAGCGGGCUCGAUGAUCCGUGGGUUAAUCCGUGUGCCGACGGUUCGAGCCUCGCGAGCCUGGGGUGCGCCAGGGUGCUGGUGUUUGCUGCGGAGAAGGAUUUCCUGUGCCCUAGAGGAUGGUUUUAC
rnacentral:lncRNA from 1 species